rnacentral:rRNA from 1 species
CAACUACGUAUUGCGUUGGAAACUGCCAGACUAGAGUACCGGAGAGGUAGGCGGAACUACAAGUGUAGAGGUGAAAUUCGUAGAUAUUUGUAGGAAUGCCAAUGGGGAAGACAGCCUACUGGACAGAUACUGACGCUAAAGCGCGAAAGCGUGGGUAGCAAA